rnacentral:rRNA from 1 species
CCUACGGGUGGCAGCAGUCGAGAAUCAUUCACAAUGGGGGAAACCCUGAUGGUGCGACGCCGCGUGGGGGAAUGAAGGUCUUCGGAUUGUAAACCCCUGUCAUGUGGGAGCAAAUUAAAAAGAUAGUACCACAAGAGGAAGAGACGGCUCACUCUGUGCCAGCAGCCGCGGUAAUACAGAGGUCUCAAGCGUUGUUCGGAAUCACUGGGCGUAAGGCGUGCGUAGGCUGUUUCGUAAGUCGUGUGUGAAAGGCGCGGGCUCACCCCGCGGACGGCACAUGAUACUGCGAGACUAGAGUAAUGGAGGGGGAACCGGAAUUCUCGGUGUAGCAGUGAAAUGCGUAGAUAUCGAGAGGAACACUCGUGGCGAAGGCGGGUUCCUGGACAUUAACUGACGCUGAGGCACGAAGGCCAGGGGAGCGAAAGGGAUUAGAUACCCUUGUAGUC